rnacentral:lncRNA from 1 species
AUGUAUAUGGAGGUAUGUAGAUCUUUCCACACAUAUAUGUAUAUAAUAUUUUAUUAUUACUUUAGAGUUGCAGUUGAACAUGGAGAAUAUAAUGAGAGAGAUGAUACUAAACACAGUUUUCCUGUCUCAACAGAUUUUGUAAUUAGAAAGUGAGUCAAAACGAAGGGACUACUACAGAUGCAGAGGGGCAAGAACUAGGCUGAGGGAGGGUGUUGACUAAACACAUGGAUCACCCAGGGAUACGUGGCUGAAUUAUGAGAAAAUCACAUUAACUUCUUCUGAAAUUGGCAACUUAGAGAUGAGGAGUUUUGACAUGGAAGUAUGAAGAAAAGGUAGAUUUAAAAGAAAAAAUACUGAAGAGGAAUGCAGGAUGAAAAUGAAGAGUUUGAGACUCAAGAAUGGUGGGAAAUGAGAAGAAAGGGCUAUCAGGAUCUGUAGACAUCAAAUCAAAUCAAGUUUACAAAUGUUUGGCUGCCCUGAUGGAUGAGAGAGUGAGUGAGCACACUCACACAACCCUGUCGAACCCAACCCCAAGCUCUACAGGCUUCACAAGUAAUCCAGCUUUCUAAUUGGGACAUCUUCUUACCAUUUGCCUUCCCUCAAUCCUUACUUACCCCUUCUGCUUAUCUCUCUAAAAACAGAAAUCUAAUUCAUAUAAUAUCAUCCCUCCUAGAAAGAGAGAGGCAGCUAUUCCCCUGAUUCUAAUCAGCACCGGGCUAUGAUUUUUCAUUCAAAAAUACCUCUCUUUGGACACCACUCUUCUACCUCUGAUGUAUAGUCCUGAUCGAAACUAAACCUCUUGAGGUCAGUGGCUGCUUCACUUGUAUUUGAAUCUCCUGAGGUUAGACCUGUGCUUGGCCUCAUAAGAACUUAAUAAAUGCUUUCCCUACAUGGACUCA